AUUGAACGCUGGCGGAAUGCUUUACACAUGCAAGUCGAACGGCAGCACGGACUUCGGUCUGGUGGCGAGUGGCGAACGGGUGAGUAAUGUAUCGGAACGUGCCCAGUCGUGGGGGAUAACGUAGUGAAAAUUACGCUAAUACCGCAUACGAUCUAUGGAUGAAAGCGGGGGAUCGCAAGACCUCGCGCGAUUGGAGCGGCCGAUAUCAGAUUAGGUAGUUGGUGGGGAAAAGGCCCACCAAGCCAACGAUCUGUAGCUGGUCUGAGAGGACGACCGGCAACCCUGGAACUGAGACACGGUCCAGACUCCUACGGGAGGCAGCAGUGGGGAAUUUUGGACAAUGGGCGAAAGCCUGAUCCAGCCAUUCCGCGUGCAGGAUGAAGGCCCUCGGGUUGUAAACUGCUUUUGUACAGAACGAAAAGGUUUCUACUAAUACUAGGAGCUCAUGACGGUACUGUAAGAAUAAGCACCGGCUAACUACGUGCCAGCCGCCGCCGUAA
rnacentral:rRNA from 1 species